rnacentral:rRNA from 1 species
UACGUAGGGGGCUAGCGUUUUUCGGAAUCACUGGGCGUAAAGCGCACGCAGGCGGAUCGAUAAGUCGGGGGUGAAAGCCCGGGGCUCAACCUCGGAAUUGCCUUCGAUACUGUCGGUCUCGAGUGCGGGAGAGGUGAGUGGAAUUCCUAGUGUAGAGGUGAAAUUCGUAGAUAUUAGGAAGAACACCAGUGGCGAAGGCGGCUCACUGGCCCGGUACUGACGCUCAGGUGCGAAAGCGUGGGGAGCAAACAGG